AAGAGAGGAAAAAAGAAAAAACAGGGACACACAGAACAUUCCUUCUAUAAAUUGCCCACAGGUUUUUUUCAAAACCGCUUUUUCUCGAACCUUCCCAUCGUGUUUAAAUAGAGCCACGGAGAACAAGUUUUACAAAACAAACCAAGAAGAUUGAUGGUUACCGGUGAGAGAGUGAAUACCUGGUUACCAACAGAAUCCCAGGGUGAAGAGGACGACGAAGACCAAGAUCUGGGAGGAGGCUAGGGCUUUCAAGCAAUCUUCAUCGAAUCCAUGAUGUACCAGAAGAGGAAACCAAGAGCAUGACAAGCUCAAAGAGAGUCCUGGUGGGUGAUGGGAAGCACCAGUAGUAGUAGGAGGAGGAGAUAUAAUCUGCACUCCUCACUGGUCAGAGGAACAGCCAACAAUAAACGGCGAGCCUCCUCAGCCACUUUGAUCUUCAGCUCUUCCAGAGUUCCAGUGAGUUCAACUACUGCAGCUGUAGCAUGUUGAGAUCUUCAGUAGGUAGUACCUGUCUGAUAUGUAAUGCCAAGUAUAUCUGGAAGAGGUCUUGAGUGGUGGGAGGGGAAGCUGAAUCCCAGAUGGCCAGAUAAGAAUGCAGUUGAGAGCAUAAACUCGAGCCGGUUGUUCGACCAAACUAGCCAACCGUGAGAGGAUCCAACUUGCAUCUCUUGACUCCUCGGGCAUGUUGAUGUUCGAGCUACAACCUUCAAGACUGUAAAACCUAGACCCAUCAAUUGCCUCCUCGUUGUUCAGAUCUCGGGGAAGAACGAGCCACAUUGUUUCGGGUAGCGAAGUGAAAGAUGGUGACUUGGUAAUUUCAUCAACUGCAGCAGACCAAGAGGGAUUAACUGCUUUAAAUAGCAUGAUGCUUUUGAGGGUGGAUGUUGAUAGGAUUAGUUGACAGAGUUCCUUUGGUACGUAAUUCGGACCAUCUUGACAUGGGAAAAUUGUGUCAUUAAUUCCAGUUUUUGUCAUUUGUAAUCUUCAAGAAGAUAAUUAACCUGGAGUCUGGUUUCAUUUGUCAUCUUCAGUAGUUCCAGCUUUUGGAGGCCUUUGGUCUUUUUUGCUGCCAUGAUUUGCAACUCAAAACUAGUUACAGAAACUUGUUUGUUUAUUUAUUUGUAUUUAUGUCUUUUUUCAUAUCUCCACUCCUAUGUACUUGACAAAUUUUACGAUGGCAAUAAAAAU